UUCCAGACUCCUACGGGAGGCAGCAGUGGGGAAUAUUGCACAAUGGGGGAAGCCCUGAUGCAGCGACGCCGCGUGAGCGAUGAAGUAUUUCGGUAUGUAAAGCUCUAUCAGCAGGGAAGAAAAUGACGGUACCUGACUAAGAAGCCCCGGCUAACUACGUGCCAGCAGCCGCGGUAAUACGUAGGGGGCAAGCGUUAUCCGGAUUUACUGGGUGUAAAGGGAGCGUAGACGGCUGUGCAAGCCAGGUGUGAAAGCCCGGGGCUCAACCCCGGGACUGCAUUUGGAACUGUGUGGCUGGAGUGUCGGAGAGGCAGGCGGAAUUCCUAGUGUAGCGGUGAAAUGCGUAGAUAUUAGGAGGAACACCAGUGGCGAAGGCGGCCUGCUGGACGAUGACUGACGUUGAGGCUCGAAAGCGUGGGGAGCAAACAGGAUUAGAUACCCCGGUAAU
rnacentral:rRNA from 1 species